rnacentral:lncRNA from 1 species
AAGAGCUCCCGGAUGUGGGUGUCUCUUGUCCAUUCCUCGAUUCCCAGGGCUUAUUAGCACAAUGCUGGACACAUACCAAGUACCAAUAAAUAGAUAUGGAAUGCAACGAUGAAUCCAGGUUUUGGAGAACCUGAAUUUUCUAUAAUCGGGGCAUGAGGAAGAAGGUGCGACUCUUGAGCCCAAAAAGGGUUGUGGGAGAAAAGUUCUUUCUGUCCGGCAGCAGCCAUCGGCUCAAAGGGAAGCCAAGAUGGGCUCUUACAAGUACAUCUGGGAGCUCUGGAGGAAGAAGCACUCCACAGCCCACCCCCCGACCCCGCCUGACGAAGCCCACGACUGGGGUUCAAGGCCAAGCAAGUUUAUGCGCUAUAUCAGAUUUGUGUGUGUCGUGGUGGCCACAAACCUCCAGUUCCUAAGGGCACUACGACAGCAAGCUGGUCCGUCAUGGUUGUUAACCAGCUGGUUUGCCAGAAGCCUUCAGUCUGAUGCAGAGGCGUGAGCUGGACGCCACUGUGCGGCUCUUGAGCGUCUUGACUUCCCAUCGGGCUGGUGAAGAUUCCAUAUACAAGUUCUUUGAGAUUAUCUUCAUUGAUCCAUUCCAUAAAACUAUCAUCAGAAACCCUGACACCCGGUGGAUCACCAAGCAGUCCACAAGCACAGGGAGAUUCAAGGGCUGACAUCCACAGGCCGCAAGAGCCAUGGCCUUGGAAAGGGUCCCAAGUUCCACCAUCUAUUGGUGGUUCUUGCCAAGCGACAUGGAGAAGACACAACACUCUCCAGCUCCACCAUUACUGCUGAUAGGAAUUGGGCAGAAGCAAGAAUUUCUUUCAAGAAUGAUCGAUGAAAGUGCAACCGAUCUAGUCCCCACUCCGUCUAAACAUCAGACAAGGAUCACCGAGCUCGGCAAACAGGGCCAGACAGUCGGCCCGGUUCCGUCCCGGGAGGGGACUGUGCGGCGAGUCCAUCACAGGCUCAUCACGGAGCCGCCGUCCGAAUCCUACAGCAGGUAGGUGCAGCCUUUCGCUGCAAGGGAGGGAUUGCCUGCCUAGGAAAACUCAGGCUU